rnacentral:rRNA from 1 species
UACGGAGGGGGCUAGCGUUGUUCGGAAUUACUGGGCGUAAAGCGCACGUAGGCGGCUUUGCAAGUCAGAGGUGAAAGCCCGGGGCUCAACCCCGGAAUUGCCUUUGAGACUGCAUCGCUAGAACGUCGGAGAGGUAAGUGGAAUUCCGAGUGUAGAGGUGAAAUUCGUAGAUAUUCGGAAGAACACCAGUGGCGAAGGCGACUUACUGGACGACUGUUGACGCUGAGGUGCGAAAGCGUGGGGAGCAAACAGGAUUAGAUACCCCGAGUAGUCC